AUGCACGCUGGCGGCGUGCCUAAUACCUGCAAGUCGAGCGAACAGACGAGGAGCUUGCUCCUCUGACGUUAGCGGCGGACGGGUGAGUAACACGUGGAUAACCUACCUAUAAGACUGGGAUAACUUCGGGAAACCGGAGCUAAUACCGGAUAAUAUAUUGAACCGCAUGGUUCAAUAGUGAAAGACGGUUUUGCUGUCACUUAUAGAUGGAUCCGCGCCGCAUUAGCUAGUUGGUAAGGUAACGGCUUACCAAGGCAACGAUGCGUAGCCGACCUGAGAGGGUGAUCGGCCACACUGGAACUGAGACACGGUCCAGACUCCUACGGGAGGCAGCAGUAGGGAAUCUUCCGCAAUGGGCGAAAGCCUGACGGAGCAACGCCGCGUGAGUGAUGAAGGUCUUCGGAUCGUAAAACUCUGUUAUUAGGGAAGAACGAAUGUGUAAGUAACUAUGCACGUCUUGACGGUACCUAAUCAGAAAGCCACGGCUAACUACGUG
rnacentral:rRNA from 1 species